CUUGAGUAGCAGAGGUAGCAUCCAUAAAUUUCAUGUUCCAAUUCUACCUGCCAACAGAAAAAUUACCAUUACCAUCUCCAGGAAUUGAUUUCCCAUGUUCUAACCUUUCAGCCUUGAAACCUAGGUGGCAUGAACCACCAUCAACAACACAAUAUUGCCUUGAAAGUUCUCCAACAGCUCUGGCAGCUAGGCUUGCAUGUUCUCCAAAUUCAGCCGCUGCUUGAGCAGCAGACGUAGUAUCCUUAAAUUUCAUGUUCCAAUUCUGCUUGCCCAACAAAAAUAUUACCAUUACCAUCUCCAGAAAAUGCUUUCCCAUGUUCAAAACUUUCAUCGUUGAAACCUAAGUGGCAUGAACCACCAUCAUCAACAUAGUAUUGCCUUUAAAGUUCUCUAAUAGCUCUGGCAGCUAGGCUUGCAUGUUCUCCAAACUCAGCCGCUGCUUCAGCAGCAGAGGUAGCAUCCUUAAAUUUCAUGUUCCAAUACUACCUACCAAUAGAAAAAUUACCAUAACCAUCUCAUGGAAAUGAUUGUCCAUGUUCCAACCUUUCAUACUUGAAACAUAAGUGGCAUGAACCGCCAUCAUCAACACAAUA
rnacentral:lncRNA from 1 species